GACGAACGCUGGCGGCGUGCUUAACACAUGCAAGUCGAACGGUGAAGGGACCGGUUUUUGCUGGUUCUGGAUGAGUGGCGAACGGGUGAGUAACACGUGAGUAACCUGCCCCCUUCUUCUGGAUAACCGCAUGAAAGUGUGGCUAAUACGGGAUAUUCUGCGCCUGCUGCAUGGUGGGUGUGGGAAAGAUAUUGUUUCGGUGGGGGAUGGGCUCGCGGCCUAUCAGCUUGUUGGUGGGGUGAUGGCCUACCAAGGCGGUGACGGGUAGCCGGCCUGAGAGGGUGGACGGUCACACUGGGACUGAGACACGGCCCAGACUCCUACUGGAGGCAGCAGUGGGGAAUAUUGCACAAUGGGCGCAAGCCUGAUGCAGCGACGCCGCGUGAGGGAUGGAGGCCUUCGGGUUGUAAACCUCUUUCGCCAGUGAAGCAGGCCUGUCCCUUUUGUGGGUGGGUUGACGGUAGCUGGAUAAGAAGCGCCGGCUAACUACGUG
rnacentral:rRNA from 1 species